CCAGGAUACUUUGCGAAUCAAAGAUGGUGGCUUGCUUAACAACGACCGUGUCAAAUAGUAUUUUCUUAUACAUUUCUUGCGUAAUUGAUCCGAUAGUUAUCUUGAAUGUAAGUACAACAAAAUCCCUAAAUGCUACGAGGACAGAGGAUGGUAGGGCAUGCAUGCUUUGGAAUCAGGGAGGACACCAACGCAUGUCUCCAACACGACGACGUUGUAAAGAUUAAGCUGAUGCCUGACUGAAAACCUGGAGAUCUUCACUGAUUCUGAGAGGUGACAUGGCCACAAACAGUACCUGGGACACCUUCUAGGGCUACCGCUUUCUAGAGGACAGCCAGAGGGUGGUCAAGACAUCGGCCGCAACGUCAUUUUUUGUGUGUCUGCUCUGCUGCACCUGGGAGUUAAAGUAAAAAGCUGAGGGAUGGGGCUGGAGAAAUGUAACCGCUCUCAAAUUCAUAGACAGCGUUACGGAUGCAAGGACUGAUCAUCGCGCCGCCUCCUAAAACCCCCAUAAGAGGAGAUGACCCAAAGUUCCUUGCCUAAGACCUCCUCCAAUGGGUUUUGAGAAGGAAGUGAAGAGUUGAGCAGAGAUUCAUUGGGACAGGGCUAAUGUCAUUGUUUUAGGUGGAAUCUUAUGUCAAAUGAUACAUUUAUUCUGUUCGCACUUACUGUAAAUCUUUGUUCUACUUUGUGCUCUUUCCUCAGAUGGCUCUGGCUUGCUGAUAAUAUCUGCUCUGAUGAGACUCCCUAUGCAAUUUGACUCUAUUACUGACUAUUCAAUAAAACUUCCAAUGUCAACUAUAAAUCAUUUUAGAUUCUGUCAUUGAUAGAUAAUAGUAGUUCCUAAUCAGACAAUUACUAUUUUUUUAAAUCUGUUUUCCUCAGUGCAAUGUUUGGUGAAUGCAUGGUGUUUUGUUCUCAGCCCUCCUUUGAAUGCUGUGUCUACUGAUUCAGUGAGUGAGUGAAUGGUGGGGAGGGUUUGAGGGUGUGUGCGUUGAUAGAGCAAGGUAUAGUGUACCUAUUAUAAUUUAUUUCUCAAUUCAUGUGGUUGGUUACUUCCUCUAACAUAUAGCAGUAUUCAAUCAUCUUAUAGUUAAUAAACUUAUCAUUAUAGCAUCUGUGUUAUAUUAUAUAGGAUAUGCACACAAAUAGUUGGUCAAACCCUAACAAAGUGCAAGAGAUCCGUGAUGAGAUUAUCAGUGACAUUAAUUCAACACUUAAUCCUUAUGUAUGGAACUAACUAGUUUCUGAUCUCCCUCUAUUUUCUACAGCUCGAAGUUUUUACUUUACACUUAUUUUUCUUAAAACUGCAUUGUUGGUUAAGGGCUUGUAAGUAAGCAUUUCACCAUAAGGUCUACAGCUGUUGUAUUCGGCUUAUGUGACAAAUACAAUUUCAUUUGAGAUAACAGGUCUAGAUUCCGGGGCAGGAAAGGCUACUAAUGGACCAACAUUGGAAAUCUCUGGAACAAUGACAGCACUGAAAUGAUUAAUUGUAAAUAGUAGUUAAACUGACUUAAAUGGGUCAGUAUGGGGAUUGUAAUUUAUUAUGCUAACUUCACUUGAGAACUUGAUUGAGGUUGUUCUGUAGAGAAGAUAGUCAGUGGGGUAAAGUACUUAAGUAAAAAUACUUUUUUGGGGGUAUCUGUACUUUACUUUUGAUAUUUUUGGCAACUUUUACUUCACUACAUUCCUAAUGAAAAUAAUUUACUUUUUACACCAUACAUUUUCCCUGACACCCAAAAGUACUUGUUACAUUUUGACAGGAAAAUAGUGAAAUUCACACACUUAUCAAGAGAACAUCCCUACUGCCUCUGAUCUGGUGGACUCACUAAACAUAAAUGCUUCGUUUAUAGAUUGUCUUGAGUGUUGGGGUGUGCCCCUGGCUAUCAGUCAAUAAAAAAUAACACUGUGCCGUCAGGUUUGCUUAAUAUAAGGAACUUAAUGAUCCAUAUUCUUACUUUUGAUACUUAAGUACAUUUUUAAAAUUCCAUUUACUUUUGUACUUAAGCAUAUUUAAAACCAAAUACUAGACUUUUACUCAAGUAGUAUUUUACUGGGUGACUCACUUUUACUUGAGUCAUUUUCUAUUGAGGCAUCUUUACUUUUACUCAAGUAUGACAACUGCGUACUUUUCCACCACUGGAUAUAGUGAUCAAAGAAUGUUUAGUAGACUUUUUUCCCUCCUGCCAUGAUGGGUAGAAACUAAAGUGUUGCUGUGAAUAGGCCUACCACAAUUCCAACUAAAGACAUUUGCAUGUGUGUGGGAGAACUCUAUGCUGGGCUGUACUUCUGCUUCCAUGUUCUGCAAUGAGCAAACUUCAAGAAACUCUAAAGCAGGGAUGUACGGAGAAAAAAAUGUAUGAAAUGUAUGCAUUCACUACUGUAAGUCGCUCUGGAUAAGAGCGUCUGCUAAAUGACUAAAAUGUCAAAUGUGUAUUCAUUAUGGAAAAUGUUGUUUAAGAACAAAAUGGAAACAGAACGAAACGGGGAGGGACCUACCUGAAUUUGUCUAAUGGAAACUCUCCUAAACGGUUUCUGUUGUGAAACGUUUUGAAAUAGAAUUGGCGUAAUGAUUACACCCAGGACUGUCCUCCCCCUUGACUGCUCUGAAGAUAGAUUUCUAAAUUGUGCAUGUGUUUUGUACAACUGGGUGUAAUAAAUGUAUCAAUAAAACGGAUGAAGUGUUGCGAA